AGACAUUUUGGUGUAUUAUUUUUUGUUUAUUACAUUAAAUCCCUUUAGUUUUUAUACUAUGUUUUUUAGGUGGAGGGGUGAUUAUCUUAUUUUUUUGGGGUAUAAUUUAGUUUGGUAGUUUUUUUUGGUAAAAAUUUAAGGUUGAAGAGGGAUAAAAAUUAAAAUAAAAUUUUUAAAUAUAAUUAUAUUUUAAUUCUUUUUAUUGGGAAUAAAAUAAAACUUUCAUCACUUAUCCUUUCCUUAUGAUCAUAAAUAACUACUAUUUGUAUAAGUAAUUGGAAUUGGAUACUCGGAAUCGGGGAAUGUUGGAAGGCUUUUGGGCCCAUAGCUUCUGUAUGGCUGGCCCGUCUGAGUAACUUAUACCCACUCGAUCUUUAUUAUUUUAUAUAGUCGUAAAUUUGGAUUUAAUUCAAAAGGGGGCGGGGGGGGGGAAAUUACUCCUUGGGAAUAUAAAGGGCUUUGCAUGGAAACCUAUAUUAAACCGGGUAUUAAAAAGUUUGGGUUUAAAGGGGCGGAAUCUUGACUUGCCUUUAACCCACUUAAUUCUUUGGUUCACCUUCACAUCCGGGAGGCAUACCCCCUCAAUUUAUUCCUAUCAUAGGGCGGAGGAAA
rnacentral:misc_RNA from 1 species